AUGGCAUGGGGUAACAAUCUAAUCGCCACAGUCACUAAGAUGGAGUUUAAGGCGCAUGGUGUGUUUGGCAAGUUUCACACGGGGGAUUCUUCCAAAUUUGGCCAAGAUGACAUACAACAUUGGGUCCCAUGUCUUCUCGUGAAGUUUUUGUUUUUUCAUGCAUCAACAAUCUUACAAGCAGUAACAUAUCUUCUUUUUGUUUUGUUUUUGUCUGCCAACCAGGAGCUGGAUGGAAGAGCUUUUAACAAACAAAUUUUGCACAGAAGAAGUGAUCACCAAGAAGCAGUCUACUACUUUUCAAUUUUUUAG
rnacentral:rRNA from 1 species